GCGUCGCAUGUGCCACCCAAACUACUAAUUAUCAAACAUUCUAACCACAUACAUGGUGAAAGAGAGUAUAUCAAAACACUAUGACACACACUGAAACGAUGAAAGAGAGAUAAAGAGAAAGAGAGUUGAAGAUACUAGAUCAAGCAGCGGUGGUAGAUAAGGGACAGACCAGGCGUCAGCAGAUCGUGGGUGACACAGUGAAGCAGCAACGAGGUUGGAUUUUUAAGUCUUUGAGACCUUUGGGUUUGCGGUUUGGAGAGUGAAGAGGCAUUGCGGAAGAGGAUUACGUUUUUCUCUCUUUAGCUGGUAAAUAGGUACCGGAUCAGUAUUGAAAUUGUUCUAAUUUUCUGCAAAUUGUUGAGAAAGAAGAGAUGAAAUGGGGGAGCACUCUGCAUUCUGCACAACGCAAGAACUAGGCUGACUGCUUAUGCAAUGUUGAUGUUUGAACUUUGAAGGACACUAAAGAGAGUGUGUUACUAUGGUUGAAACAGGUAGCUCACAAGUAAGCUUCCCGCGAAGUGAAGCAUGUGCCCUGCACAUAAUUGGAAUGCGAAGAGUCAGGACAGGAUGGAGACAGCUGGUUUUCAUGAGUGUCUCGUGGGUAAGGCCUUUCCGCGAGAUACCCGUGAAACAUUCUGUUUUACUAAACUGUCAUAUCUAAUACACACUUUCUGUACCCACACUAUAUAUACCCCCAUUACCCACAUAUGUUGAGGAGUGCUUCUGAGAGAAAACCUUAGCCACAAAUAUUGAGAGUUAGAGAUUGUUAUUCCCACAAUUCUCUACACAAUUACUGGUGGAUUUUUCUCAACUCCUACCUCUCCAUUUCCAUACCAUUGAGAGGUUGAUAGCCCAAACAUUUACCACACAAUUUCAGAGUGUCAAGUGAGGUAUUAGUGCUACUGGGAUGUAUUGGAAGAAGCCAGGCUUUGGCAGACGCAAUCGGGCGUAUUGUGAGAUCCGAAAAGUUAGACAAGACACGAUUUUGAGAAGCCUUGUUAGAGUAGGAACUUGGAGGGCUUAGUUGCAUUGGGUAGACUAGGCUUGGAGGGUCUUUUGCUAUUCGUGUAUCUCAACUAAUUGUCUAGUGGAUCGAUUACCGUUUGGAGGGCGGCGGAGAGG